rnacentral:lncRNA from 10 species
GGCACUGUUCUAAACAAUGGGAAUAAUAACGAUAUGGACAUUGUGACAUUGUGAGAGCUAAUGAACAUUAUCCAUUCAUACAUAUUUUUUAUAUAUAUAUAUAUAUAUAUAUAUAUAUAUAUAUAUAUAUAUAUAUAUAUACACACACACAUACACAACAAUGUCCAUAUAAUAUUAUUAUUUUCACUUGCAGAUAAGCGACCUUGGUCACAAAGAGUUAAAUAACUUGUCCAAGAUCACACAGCUAAGAGAUUCCAAGGUCUGGGCACACUUGCUGCAAAUGAGAGGUGCAUGAACUUAGCAUAUUAAACACUGGUGUGUCACUGGUCUGAGAGAAGAUCUCUAACCCAAGCUGGCCCAAUAAUUGGACCUGAGCUCAUGGCCACUAAUUGGUCCAAAUUGUGUGGGUGUCACCCAAGUUUGUGCCAAUCACAAUAUUUCCUGUGAGCGUUUGCCUCUGGAGACCAAGUUCAGAAGAAGCAAAGCAAAGAGCUGCAACAUCAUCUGUAGAAACUGGGAGAGAUCAGCGCUCCAAAAACAGAGAAAAGCCAAGAGUGACAGCGAGUAAAUCUUGGUGGAGUUCAGGUCUCUCAGUCUAGUUUUCGAGGUGCUGGAUUUGCCUUUCCUUCCCAAAGCCUGGAUUCUGGCUUUUAGUGGACGCUGAGAGCAACUCCAUAAUCUUCAGCUGGUUCCAGUUGGGUUCAUGCAUCUUGUCACCAAAAGUUGCACAUACAGGAAAGUGACUGACUAGAAGAGGUCAGUGCAGAUUCCCACCAUCAUCCUGCAGACCUGCAGAGCAUUAUCCCUCCAGGGUACUCUGACUCGGAGGAGAGGAAGAGUACGCCGAGGGAUGGCGAGAGCUAGAAACAGCGCGAGAAGGCAGGCGAGGAUGGCUACGGGAA